CAAUUUGUUAUUCAAUUUAUUGUUGAUGUAAAGUGGACAUUAGAAAUAUUAAUUUCUAACCAUCUAGCAAACUACUAUUAUAGUGGUACAGUGGUACUCGCACUGAAAAUGGCUCAGGCGCAACUCGAACUUGAAAUGGUACACGAAUUCGUUCCAAGAGGGUUAUGUACCGGUAAUCGGAUCGAGAUCGAAAGAAAACCGUUCAAGGGCGAUUCUGCGCAUUAAAACAGUCCAAUCGAUUUCGUGGCGGUUCAAGGGAUCGUACAAAUGUGUCGUCUUGGAACGAACCUAUGGUCGGUUAUGUGAUGUGUUUGUGUCACCAUAAAAAGCUGAUAUUCAGUCGUGUUUUUUGAUAUUUUUGUUAUUUCAUAAUCGAGUACCUUUUUCGAGCAUUGACUUGCAGUCAACUCUACAAAAAUUAAUAUUUUUGGCUAAAAUUUUUUUGAGAGUACUAUACUUUUACAUGUUUCAAUUAUAAAUAAAAAUAAUUUUUAGUUUCCAAGAUAUAAUUUUUUUAAAAAGUCACUUUUUUUACCUGCAAGACAACAACUUAACAAAUUGUUGAUUUCAAAUUGUAACAGUUGUUUUGCAAAGUAUGCUGCCCUCUUGUAUUUUCUGUGUUAUCUUCAAAAAACACAAAACAAAAAAAAAAUAAAACAAAAGUUUAACCACCUUCACACCACAGAAUCAAGCAAUCAAGUUACACAAAUUUUCAAACACCUCACCUGACACAGCGUCUCAAGUAGGAUUGCGCGAAUUGGUAAAUAUAACUCCGCACGACCACGCAACUCGAAACACAAGUACGCAAACACGGUUGCGUGAAGCGUGGCUCGCAAUCGUGAAAUUUACGAGACUUGCUCGACCUGUAGAUUCUUGUCUCCACACCAUGGUACAACAAAGAGGAGCGGCUAAAGAUACAGUGCGGCUCCCUAAUUUGCGCGUGCGUGUCCUCAACUCCAACAUUGCCGUUUCCGAGAUACUUCUGUAUGAGCUUUCCUAACGUUCGGGUGUGUGACAGUUCAGUGUGGAAGUGAUAAUUCAAAAAAAACGCAGGCGGCAAAAACAAAAUAGGAACUACAUAAUAGAGGAAAAACAAGAAGAAGGACAAGGACCACAUAGGACCAAAAAAAAAAAUAGAUCUGAAGUUGACAGGACACCUGGUUGUGCAUUGCCUUGAGCAAGACGCGCAUAACCAAUAACAUGUACUGGGUAAAUGAUUAAAAAAAAAUCGAAACCCAAAAAAAAAGGAAGAAGAAGAAGCCGUUUCCGAGAUAGUUUGAAGGACAAAUUACGUUGAGAAAGAAGAAACGCGUCUAACUUCAAUUGUAUUUUGUAUUUGUCACUGUCACAUCUUUGAUCGGAUUUAUUUUUUGGAAGCCAGAUUUGCGGUCAGAAGGAAAUACAACAGAGGACGAAUAUUAAAUGGAGACCAUCCAGCAGAAUCAGAAGACAGCGAUGCUGAAGCGGAAAAUAAUCGGAAUCAUGGACGCCGAAUUGACGGUCGGUGGGUCUUCGGAUUAAAGAGGAGGUCCGAUAUUUUUAUGUUGAGCGACCCUAGUUCCCAUCAUACAAAGGGAAGUUGAAGCUGGGUCAGUAAUUCACUCGGACGAAUGGCCAGCAUACGGCAAUUUGCGCCAAUUAGGCUAUGUGCACUCAACCAUUAACCACCAGGAAAAUUAUGUCGACCCACAAACAGGAGCACAUACGCAAGGGAUAGAAAGAUCCUGGUUGGAGGGUAAAAUUACGAUUUUGAAAAAAAUGAGAGGUGUUCCUGUCAGUACUUUGCAGUCCCAUUUGGAUUAUGUUGCGUGGAAGUUUCUACGAAGGAAUGUAGAAGAUAAGUUUAUCGCUUUUCUGCACGAUGUUAGAGAUGUAUAUGUAUAAACCAUUUAAAAUGUUUAUGUAUUGUCAGUUGACCCUACAAAUAAGUUUUUCAAAGAUUAUUUAACUUUUAAGUAAUAUAAUAAAUUUGUUUGUAAUAAAUAAAAUAAUAUAUAAAUAAUAAAUAAAAAGUUUGUAAUAGUUUCUCUAAUUUGUUUUUGUACGUAGACCGCAUGCCGAAUCAGCUAAACUGCCGUAGAUCGCAUAUCAGACGGUAGACCGCAUACCAAACUAGAAACUCUGCCGUAGACCGCAUACCGAAGUAGCACCCACAAUUGUACUUAUUAUUAUGAUUAGGAGUGCGAAAUUGGAAAACCAAGGUGAGGGAUAGGAAGCUGAUUCUGGAACAGGUCAAGACCCACCAUGGGUUGCGGAGCCAAUGAUGAUGAUAUUAUGAUUAUACAUGAUAUUACAACGCAAGAGGCCCAAAGAGGUACUUUUCUGUCCCGAUUAGCUAACCGAGGUUUAACGGGGACAUAAGUCCCAUAAUCUAUAAAGUUUUGAGCCAAAAGUAUGUAUUACACUUUCAUUUUCAUGUCAUCAGCAUUUGUUUAUUUAAACAUACUGUCAAAAAAAUUAAUAAAAAAAACACCAUAAAGCUAA